rnacentral:rRNA from 1 species
CCUCGCAUUGUUCCUCCUCUCCACUAAACAGGCGUCUGCUAUCUUGUUUGUGUUGUUGUUGUUGUUAUUGAAGAUGCUGCUUAAAGCUAAAUAGUAACAACGGGGCCGCCGGGCGCAACGCAGCGAUGAUGGCCACGGCGGCCGUGGCGGCACCUUUUUAAAAAAUGUUGUUGUGGUUGUCAUCAUUGUCGUCAUCGCCCUCGCGUUUGCUUGCGAGGCGCCUGCUAACGCUAUCGCCGCUCGGUUUCGUGAAGGCGAGCGUUGACUCGGUGAAUGAGGGAGCAUUGUCAUCCGAGCAACAAACUAGAUCCCUCCCACUCUUCACUCACCUGAUAGCAGCAUGCCCCUUUGCAGCGACAAACAAAGGGAAAGGCUACGACGGCGAACGCUUCUAUUUAGAAUUAUGGCAGAGGGCUCCAAUAAUAGAUGCUAUUAUGAUCGACGACAAAACGGGGGAGGUGAAUCGAGGGCCAAUACAAAACGUUGCUUUCACGUCUAUAUAUAUAUAUACAUACAUACAUACAGGGUGUCUAUAAAAGUUUUAGCCUAGUCUUGUGGGGGGCCACGAACGCCGUUAGAAUAAGAAUUUUAUUCCAAUAGAAUGGGGUUCAAUAAAGUUGCUAUAUUGAUGUGGCUCACCGGACCUAGCUUUACAAAAUGUGCAAGAGCAAGACAAAUUCGUUUCUUUAAAAAGUCCUACAUUAGCAAACGAAUGAAAAAUAUUUAUAUUAAAUAUAUUCGCAAAGAUCAAAAUAAUUGUUUGCUUUCACGUUCAAUAUAAUUAAAUAUACCCUCCCUCACCCCGCGAUGUCGGAUUACCAAGGUUGUGCAUGAAGCGUAUAUUGAUCACGGCGCCGCCAGUAUGUCUAGUCUGUUAACAUGAGUCUUUAUAGGUAUUCAACAUCGGGAAGUAGAAGAAUACGGCUUAAGGUAGAAUACUCAUAGCAAGAAUCAAACCAGCAUCGAUUUGAUACUAAAAGUAUAAUCAUAAAAUGCACAAUUGCGGGAGUAACUAUGACUCUCUUACCGGCUUUGGUCCGCUGGUGCGCGACUGCCGCGCGCUGCGGGGACCUUCACUAGCCCACAUGUAAGUCAGUCAGACGGUGUAAACUCCCAAUAGUAACUCUCCCCAGGGUCACCAUUUGUUGACGGGGAGGCAGGGCAUACGAUAUCGAUUGAGUGUCAACAAAUUCAUAUUGUCACUUUGUCGUGGCCUAUUCGAGGGCUGUUAAGGCUAUUGUAUUACGGGGAAAGUGUGAUGCGCACAGUCUCCGGGCUACACGGUUAAUGCCUCGCGAAUUUAGCAACCUGGGAGUACCGUGUGGGACGCCUGUUGCCUUGGCUUAAUAGGCACAAUGAAGGGUGAGACACCACAUGAAUGCAGAACGCCGGUCGGGAGGACCAUCUGGCUCCGCAGCUGCCCUACGCAGCAGUGGGGCCCCCCUGCCUUAGAGUGGUCGACCGUCCCUUAAGGGGCGCCAGUAUAUUCUGGGGUGUAACGCGGAAUCGCGAGGUGAUCGCGUCUAGUCGGUACGGCGGAGUAGUGUGGUACCCCCGUGCGGAACCUCGAUAGGGAGAAAGUGUGGGGAGUCCGCCGGCAUGUCAAUUCGGGCGCGGCGGGCACUUCCGGAGGUCCGCGCGUAUUAAAUCAUGGGCGGCGGGAGUGUGUAGUCGUCAUCUAAUUAGUGACGCGCAUGAAUGGAUUAACAAGAUUCCCACUGUCCCUAUCUACUGUCUAGCGAAACCACAGCCAAGGGAACGGGCUUGGAAUUGAACGGCGGGGAAAGAAGACCCUGUUGAGCUUGACUCUAGUCUGACUUUGUGAAGAGACAUAGAAGGUGUAGCAUAAAUGGGAGACUUGUCAUCAAUGAAAUACCACUACUCCUAUUGUUUCUUUACUUACUCAAUGAAGUAAAUAUGGUUUUUCCAUGUUUUAGACAAAAGCAUAGUUAUUUGUGUGAUUUAUAUUGAGGACAUAGUCAGGCGGGGAGUUUGACUGGGGCGGUACAUCUGUCAAAAAAUAACGCAGGUGUCCUAAGGCCAGCUCAGCGAGAACAGAAAUCUCGCAUAGAGCAAAAGGGUAAAUGCUGGAUUGAUCUUAGCUUUCGGUACAAGUGUAGACCGUGAAAGCGUGGCCCCUCGAUCCUUUUGUUUUUAGGAAUUUUAAGCAAGAGGUGUCAGAAAAGUUACCACAGGGAUAACUGGCUUGUAACGGCCAAGCGUUCAUAGCGACGUCACUCUUUGAUCCUUCGAUGUCGGCUCUUCCUAUCAUUGCGAAGCAGAAUUCGCCAAGUGUUGGAUUGUUCACCCACUAAUAGGGAACGUGAGCUGGGAUUUAGACCGUCGUGAGACAGGUUAGUUUUACCCUACCGUUUGUGUUUGUUAUGGUGAUGGUAAUCCUGCUUAGUACGAGAGGAACCGUAGGUUUAGACAAUUGGUUUUGUGUUUGAUUGAAAAAUCAGAGGCACUAAACUACCAUCUAAUGCAUUAUGACUGAACGCCUCUAAGUCAGAAUCCAAUCCAGAGUCCAUAACAUUAGCAUCUAGAAUAGUAUAUUGUAUAUUCUAUAGUUGUGUGAGUGCAUAACUGAACAAUAUGAGCAAAUUGAAAUGAAGUAGUGAAGGUCUUCAUAUAGGUUUUCAAUCUUGAAUACGUCCCGGAUGCAAGACAAUCUGCAAAUGACUUUUAUCAAUCGAAGUGUUGUAAUU